CAAGCCAUCGAGCAGCGAAGCCAGGUUCAGUUGAGCAAGGGACUUCGUUCGGGAAUACAGUCCCGUUCUGCUGGUGUGUAGAAAAGAGUUUUUUUUACGUCCGAGUCGAGUCGAGACUGGUCGUUUGUCGUUAUUUUUUUUCACCUUUUCCCCCGUUCCGUUUUCAUCCGGUGAUAUCAGUGUGUUUGUUGGACCAUCGAGUGGAUGUAGUAGGUGUAUCGUAUUCCCCGGAUUACCUGCCAUGUCAUCCAACAAUCAGAAAAUCUCCACCACGGAGCGUGUGAUUAAAAGUGUGCCGUUCCCGCCGAGUCGCAAAUUGUCUGUGGCCGAAGUGUUUGACACGAAGACGGGCAAACCUCGUCCGGAUGUGCUCAAGCAGCAUUUCAUUUUGGAGGGCCGGAUCGAAGAGGCGGCCGCCCUCCGCAUCAUCAACGAGGGAGCUGCUCUACUCCGCCAGGAGAAGACGAUGAUUGACAUUGAAGCUCCCGUCACAGUUUGUGGCGACAUUCACGGACAGUUUUACGAUCUGAUGAAACUGUUUGAAGUGGGCGGAUCGCCGGCCAAUACCAAGUAUCUCUUCCUGGGCGAUUACGUCGAUCGAGGAUAUUUCAGCAUAGAGUGCGUCCUCUACUUGUGGGCGCUGAAAAUUUGCUACCCGACCACCCUGUACCUGUUGCGGGGCAACCACGAAUGCCGGCAUCUGACGGAGUACUUUACCUUCAAACAAGAAUGUAAAAUCAAGUAUUCGGAGCGUGUCUAUGACGCUUGCAUGGAGGCGUUUGAUUGCCUUCCGCUGGCCGCCCUGAUGAACCAGCAGUUCCUCUGCGUCCAUGGCGGUCUCUCGCCAGAGAUCCAUUCGCUCGAUGACGUGCGAAAGCUGGAUCGGUUCAAGGAGCCACCGGCGUUCGGUCCCAUGUGCGACCUCCUCUGGUCUGACCCCUUGGAAGACUUUGGCAACGAGAAGAAUGCCGAACACUUUUCACACAACUCCGUCAGGGGUUGUUCCUACUUCUACAGCUAUGCAGCCUGUUGUGAAUUCCUUCAACAGAAUAAUCUCCUGUCAAUUAUUCGAGCGCACGAAGCUCAAGAUGCUGGUUACCGAAUGUAUCGGAAAAGUCAGACGACCGGUUUCCCUUCGUUGAUAACCAUAUUUAGCGCUCCUAAUUACUUGGACGUGUAUAAUAACAAGGCGGCCGUGCUUAAGUACGAGAAUAAUGUGAUGAAUAUCCGGCAGUUUAACUGCUCGCCUCACCCUUACUGGCUACCCAAUUUCAUGGACGUCUUCACCUGGUCUCUGCCCUUUGUCGGAGAAAAAGUGACGGAAAUGCUGGUCAACGUCUUGAACAUUUGCUCCGACGACGAACUCGUCUCUGAGGGCGAGGAGAGCAUCGAAGACGGGGAAGCAGCUGCCAUCCGUAAAGAAGUGAUUCGCAACAAAAUUCGAGCUAUCGGCAAAAUGGCCCGCGUCUUCUCCGUCUUGAGGGAAGAGAGCGAAAGUGUGCUCCAACUCAAAGGGCUGACCCCCACAGGAUCCUUACCGCUCGGCGCCCUCUCUGGAGGCAAAGCGACGCUAAGAAACGCUUUGCAGGGAUUCUCUCCCACGCACCAAAUCAGGUCGUUUGAAGAGGCCAAAGGUUUAGACGCCAUCAACGAGCGCAUGCCACCUCGCAAUGACGCUCCGCCGCCGUUACACGCGUCGUCCAAUUCGUCGAGCGUGUCGCCCGUCUCACCGAUUGCGGCGGCGGCGGCCGCCGUCGUGGCCGAGGCCAGUGCCAAUUCGCACGUGCCCAGCGUCAGCGUCAACAACAACAGCAGCGCAGGAGGAGGCGCUGGAGGCGCGGGCAGCAACAAUGUCCACUCCAAGAGUAACUCGCACGUCCCGACCGCAAGUGGAGGUGGUGGUGGUGCUGGCCACGGUCACUCCUGAGCCAGUCGGCAGUGAUUUCGUUUCGUUUUUUCUCUUUCUCUCUCGUUUAUUAUUAUUAUUUGUUUUUACUUCUUCCUUCAAUUUUUGUAAUUCCCGCCACCACCACUCCGCCGCCGCCCGUUCAGCCUCGACUUGACCCGGUCCCACUAGACGGAGGAUUGGAAACAAAAAAAAAGAGAAACAAGUUAUUAAAAAGAAAAUGACAUCACACACAUGUGGGAGAAACACAAAAAUGACGUCGCUCGUUUGAAGAUCCUGCCGCGUUCGGUUCCUCUCAGUUUCAGAUUUUUGUUCAUUUUUUAAUUCUUUUCCCCUUCACACAAUUAUUAUUUUUUUUUUCGUGCGUGUGUGUCGUCCCGUCGGUUUCUCUUUAGCCAACAUCACACUUAUAUAUUCUCUCUCUCUCUCUCUCCUCGUCUUGAAUUUAAAGAAAGAUUUAAAAAAACAAAAAAAUUAAUACUAUUUGCGUGUGCGUGUGUGUGUGUGUGUGUGUGAGCGUUACGAUUUCUUCAUAUAUAUUCCUUCCUAUCCCUCCUGGAAAAAGAAAAAUCUCCUGCAAAUCACUAUUACGCUCUUGAAAUUUUUUAAAAAAUCCCUUUUUGUCUGUCAAACAAAUUUUCUCCCUUUUUCGCUUUCAUUUUUCCUUGGCCCCCUCGUUUUUUUGUUGUUGUUGUGUUUCGUGGGGCGUGUUUUGGGUGAGGACUUGCGCUUUCUCGUUUGUUUGAUUUAUAUAAUUAUUUCGUUUGAUUAUUAUUAUUUUUUUUUGUUCAUUUUGUUGUGUGUUUGCGAUAAUGAUGGAUGCUUUUUGUUUUUCAUCAUCCUACUGGCCUCCCGUCGGCUCUCUCUCUCUCUUUUCUCUCUUACAGAUCUGAAAAGUCAUCGCUCGAUUAUUAUACAAUUAAAAUCCAUGACAAGAAAAAUAUUAUCCAAUUUGUUGAAACAAAAAAAAGAAAACGUGAGCGGAUGCAAAGAGAAAUUUAUUUUGGGAAGGGGGAGAUCAAAUUGUUUGAUUGUGGUUAUUAGCCACUUCCCAACCAAUUUUUUGUAAGGAAAAAUUACCGACUUGUAGCGUUGUUUUAAUCGGAUGACGGAAAUUUGAUUGUGAUUCAAAUGAAUAUAAUCAACAUUUUUGUUUGCUUGUUUUCGAGACAAAAAAUUCAAACAUCAACCCAGUCGAUUUGUUGCUGGACAACUAGUCACUGCACAUGCCACCUAAACUGGAUGGGGGGUGGAGACAUUUUUUAAGGGGGGAGUUGAUAGAGUAUUAUUAAACUUAGUUGUUGUUUUUUCUAAAUUUCAUCUUAUUUAAUGAUUGUGCCGUGUUUGAUUAUUUUCUUGGUUUUUUUUACAAUUAGUGUUAUUAUUUAUUUUUAAAUUGUUUUCAAUUAAUACCAGAUGACUUGGGAGAUGUUGAAUUUCAUGUGUUUCUUCUCUUUUCCUUUACCCAAUUAAUUUCAUUUUUUUUUCUGUGUGUGUUGCCAGUGUCUUGGACGCGUUCAUUUUUCCCUGCUUUAGGUUUGGCAAUUUUGUUUUAGAAUUUUCGGACAGCGGCUAAUCAAAUUCUCUUUCUCUCUCUCCACUUACCGACGAUUUUAAUUUUAAUUAUUUUUGCGAGCUCGUUUUUGCCUUUAUAAUGAUUCGUGUACUUAAUUGUACUAUACAUAGUAUUAGAAUUCUAAUUAAUUACAUGCGUACGCGCAAACCGACAGCAGCAUAAGGAAAACAGGGAAAUCGGAGAAAGGCCACUCGUAUUUUAAAAAGGUAUCAAACGAAUGUAGAUUCUUUGAUUAUUCACUGUAAUCACGAACAGAACUGUUUGGAAGCUUAUCAUCAUCUAUCCCCAAUUUUUAAUCUCAAAAUAGUUUCGAUCGUCAAAUGUUGAGGUGAAAUCAAACCCGUUGUUUUAGAUUUGAAUUUCAAAUUUAAAUCCCAGUCUAUACAGCAAAAAAGUUAGCGGGAAAUUUAAAAAGAGAGCCGUCGGGAUGAUUUUUUUUUUUUUUUUAAUUGAUUAUUAUUUUAUCUCGUCCCACAUCACCACCACAUUUUUCGUCGAUCUUUUCAUUAUUAUUCACUAUAUUUCACUUGAGCCAUUCUAAUUUUUCUUUGGUCAUUUUUGUAAGAUUUAUCUCUGAUACAUAUUUAAGAAAAAAAAAAAAGCUUUUUAAAAAUUGACAAGACAUGAAAAAUCGUGACUAUUUAUUUUUAAUUUUUUUUUUAUUUGUGAUUGUGCGAGUCUUUUUUUUUACAUCUUAUUGAUAUAUUGAUAACUUUAUCUCUCUUUCUCGCCCGCCCUUAUAUAAUACCUGUUGAAUGCGUCGAUUUGUAAUUGAAUUUUUUAACAUUUUUUCAAAAAAUCCCAUUACAUGAAUUCCCCCAUAUAAUUAAGACUCUUUUUUCGAAAAAAAAAAAAUCUUUUCACCAUUUUUCACAUGUUGUGUGUAUGAAAUGUCGCGUCUGAUUUCUUUCUAUCUAUCUAAUUCUCCGGUAUACAACACAGGAAAAAAACAAACAAAUCUGAUUGUGUUUUUAUUAGUUUUUUUGGUUUUGGUUGAAUUUUUCUUUUCGGCAGGGGAUAAUUUUAUGUUUGAGGGGGGAGUGAGAAGAGAAAACCACAAAAAUUGUUAUAACAAAAGAAACAAGACACGAGCCCGUCCGGGAUUUAUCAAGACGAUUGUCCAAUUGGCCCCCUUGAUUAAUUUUUGGCUUUUUUGAAUUUAUUUUUUAAAUAAGAAUAUCCGUUAGAACUAAUUUUAAUCACACACACACACACACACACAUUUCAAGCUCUCUAAUCUCAUUUUUGUAGCCGUUGUUAUCAAUUCUCUCUCUCUCUCCUCUUUAACGUGUACACACCCCAAACUAACUCCCUCUCUCCGACUGUAUCGCAGAUUCUCUAAACAUUCAUCACGCCCUCCAGAAAAC
rnacentral:misc_RNA from 1 species